CUCGUAUUGCUGUGGGCUUCUUUAAAGUUCACAACUUUUUUUUUUUUUUUUUUUUUUCCCAGUGCCGUUCCUUAGCUUAAGCAUCCGACAGCCAAAACUUUUUACAACCAGUUGAAAACCCCAACCAGCCUGCUGUCAUCCCAACCGCUCUGCCGGUCUGUUUCUGCGGCUGGAGACCCGCCUGAAGCACCGGAGGGUAAAUCCUUACCCUUCUGACACACGGACCAAGACGCCUGCGACCCAGAAGCACAGCUUGCUUUGGGAGGUGCCAGCCUGUUGUGUUAGGAUUUCCCACCUAAAGCAUGGAAAACUGGAGGUGCCAAAAACGUCCCGAACCUUGCUGGAGGCGGCUGGUAGGAGAGGUCGGGCAGGAUUCCAGAGCACAGCCUCAUAGUUGUUCACUCUCACAUCGAAAGCUGAACAAACCCAACAAGCUGCUUCUCCCAGGCGAAAAUAUGUAUUGAGAGGGAAGAGCAGAGGGGCGAUGUGCUUUGUGCCUCUGGGUGCCAGGGCUUCAGCCUGAGCAGGCAUGGCUGUUCCAGUGCCACAGACUGGUGAUCUGGACUAAGGCUUUUCGUCUGUGCGUAAUGGCUUUGGGAGUAAGUGAUGCUCCUGUGGGGCCAAGGGACGUUUCUGGAUGGGAGGUGAGGGCUGCGGCUUCAGCACGGUGUUCACAAACCCGCCUUGGGUUGCACCUAUCCUGGUGGGUGCUCUUGGCCAGGGGGAGGCCUGUGCUGUGUGAUUUCAUGCCACUGCCAGGUGGGGUCCUGUGGACCCUAGAGCCAUCCUGGCAGAAACCCUCCAGUACCUUGUGCCAGGAGGGUGCCAGAGGCCCUCCCUGAGAGACUCCUGCCACCACAACAGCAAAUAUGAAGCCCUCCUGCUUCACUUCUGGCUGUGCUGGAGGAACUGCUCUUUGACUGCAGCCUCACGGGAAGGACUGGCAGCCUCGUAACAAGCCCAGAGCACGCAAAAUAUUCUUGCCAAUGCUCUUGAGCACCAAGGUGCUUUUCAAAACAUAAGAAAGAAGGGAACCUUAACUCUGUUUCCACUUUGCUGUGUGUUGCAUCUUUCUUUGACUUGGGUCUUUGCUUAUCUGGGAGAUGCAAGGGAAUGACUCGGGGGUGCACUCAGGGCUCUAGUGCCUGUAGCAGGGAGAUAAUAUGUCUCACUAGAAGCAGAAACUGUGGCUGCAGCCGGAGAAGGAAGAGGUGGACUGGGAACCAGCUAGGACACCCCCACCAUUCUGGACCUCUCCCUUUCCCUGUUUCAGCUGCCUGACGUGCCAGGCGGUAAGAAGGCACCAGCUUAGGGCCUCUGAGUGGUUCAGGAAACUUGCAGCAGGGGUCUUCCAAAAAGGCAGCUCUUUGCUUUUCCUCUGCUUUCUGCUUCACACCGCAUCUCUCCCUUUUCUAAUCUGCUCUCUCAUACCACAUCCACCUUCUGCCCUAUGGGGUGGCUGCCUCCCACCUAAACUCAGCCUGCUUUGCGCAAACAGAAAAAAGGGGGUACAAUGAACUGGCAUCUUGCUGUUCCUGUGGCGUCUGCCUGGAUGGGUGAUACGGGCUCAGAGCGAGGAGCAGACCCUAUAGAGUGCCCUGCUCUUGCUAGGUUUUAAGUCCUCAUAAGAAAAUCUUUAAGAUUCCUCAUUUAAGAAACCAGGAAACCCCCUAGAAGUAGCAUUUUGCCCCUCAGUUCCCACACCUCUCGAAGGGUCCCGCUGGCAGGGACACCUAGCAGCAAACCCCGACAUGGCAGAGGGCGAACCAGCUGCGCUGCUGGGAGCAGGGGGGCUUGGCUGGCCCCACUCGAGGAUCAUCCGAGCCAUUGGGCCGAGAGGGAGCAUCUGCGGAAUGGGGCGCGUGGUAGCCCAAGGCACGGCAAUGGGACAGGGCAUGGGGGUGAAGUUUCAAUGAAAGAGUGCUUCAGCAGCGAAGAUGGAGGCUCUCAGGAGGGUUCUGAAGCAAGCUGGUAGCUCUUGUAAUUGCAGCCGAAAUUUAAAACAUAAUUAAGGUGCAAUCUCAGCUCUGAAAAACUGUUCGCUUAAUUAAAACAGAAUUGAAGUCAUUAUUGUGGGGGGAAGCAGGCUUCCUCCCCACCCCCCAUCUACAGUUCUAGCAAUAUCGUGAAAGUUAUAUCUAAAAAAUUACUCUUUAAAAAUACGCAUACUCACUGAUGAAUUAUACACAUAAUAAAUAUUUCACAGAAUAAGAUAAGACUCAGAGACAUGUUCUUAAUAAUCACAUCAUAUCAAUCAGCUCCUGUACAGCAGAAGAGGAGACAGGCUUGUGGGCACAGCCUAGCUCAGCUUCAGCCCUGGCUGAGGAAGACUUCUGCCAUCAGUGUCAGUGGGAACUAUGCUGCCAGCUGCGCCAAGCCUUUAGCUUCAAGUAGGGAGUUUGGCCUUUGGGAAGUAGAAGUGUUGCAGAGAUCACACGGGGGGGUGGGGGCGGUGGAAAUCUGCACAGUCCGCUUGCCCUAGGUGAGGAGGUAUUUGCUUGGGACUAGAAAGGAUCCCUUAACCUCACUUCCUAUGUUUGCAUUAUAUUUUUCAUGUUAUUUUUGGACAGGGUGCAUUAAUGUGUGACUCUGUGGUCCCUGAAUAACCUGUAUGUCCCCUGGCAAAGAAAACAUUCCUGCCCUUGCUCUAGCUUAUGCCUGAGUUGCAGGAAAUUCUUCGAGGAAACAUCUCCCGGCACCAUGCUCCAAACACAAUUGCUGUUAUCUGCAGCGGAGUGGCUGAGAACAUUUUAGGGUCGUGACUUCUGCAUUUGAAGCGAAGGCUAUUAGCAGUGUGCCUGUGCCACAGGCCAUCGUGCUGUCCUGCGCAAUGCAGACGAUGGAAGGGAAGUAAUCUCAGUCUAAGGUCGGGAUGACGAGGGAAUUAGUUCUGUCUGGUCUUAAAUACACCUUUAGAAAGUCCCCAGGCACAUGAGUUGCUUUCAAAUGAAAUCUGAGAGUCUGUAGAGAUUACUUGUGCUGUAGAGGGGAAGUUCUAAUAUUUUUACCCAGUCCUCUUGUGCAAAUUUUGGGGUAAAAGAUGGAACAUAUAAAUUUUUACACUGUCUCCAGUGCUCCCUCAUACCUGCAGCAGCUAUUUCAUUUUCUUAGGUAAUAAAGUGAGGGACCUAUCUGAGGGAAAUGCAGGACAAAAAAACUAGUGGAGGCAAACUGGCCUGGCUUCAUUUGGGUCAAGAGAAAUGCAGUGAAAUAUGCCUGGCCCAGAUCUCCCUUGAGGUCUGUAAUGCAGAACAGCAAUGACAUUUCUCCCAUAGUAACAGGUACCGUUUCCUUCCUCCCAUCACGUACAGAGAGAGAGGAGCAUCUGUUCAUUACUUAUGCAAGUCAAUCCUACAUGGUGCUUUAGGGUGUAAAGUGAUCUCUGCAGAAAAUCCAUCCCUACGGGCACCACUAUCACGGAAUAAGAUGUAUUAUGGCUGAUUUAUUUUUUUAAUCCAAUGAAGCUUAAGUAUUAGCUACUCAUUUCUUAGGAAGUAAUAAGAAACCAACUAUCUAGCAGAAAUAACUCAUGGAUGGCAAAAGGAAGAUGGAUUGGUACAGUUUUAAAUACAUCAUUUAAAUACGUGAUAUGACUUGCAGAGACAUAUUUAGAUAGUGCAAGGACAUGCAUGAAAUUUAAGCUUGGUUAAUAGGAAGAGCUAGGUACCUCUGCAGAGCAAUUCAGAUGGUGCAGGCAGGACAGUAAACGUGGAUGUGCUCAGAACCAGUCAGUGAGAAACACCAGGAGCAAGAACUUAGCAGAAUUUGUUUUCUGAUUAUGGUCUUGUUUCCCUUCAUGGAGAAAUCAAGAGUUACACAGCAGCUUAAGGAGCCCAGUAGAUGCUGGCUGACUACUUUCAUUACGGAUUCCCCCACUUGCUUUCUGGGUGACUUUAGAGGAAAAAAUGACCAUUUCAUGCCUCAAUUUUCCUGUGUGCAAUAAAAGGAUAUCAGCAUUUCACGUUCCCUUUAAAGUGGUCUGAAACAGAGAUUAGACAUCCUACACUGAACAACAAGAAGAGUCAUUCUUGUUUGAUGUGUCUUGAAAUGAGUAUGGCAAAAUACAGCUCUGAAACUAUCGGCCCUUAGAUUUAGUAUUAAAAAGCACCUCGAUUGAUCCGUCUUAUCUGCAAAUGCUACUCACAAAACCAGGUAAAUGUGAACAAUUGGAGGGAAAGCAGAUUGGCAGAGUGAAGCAGCCCUUGCUCAACCAGCACAUUUCAGUACAUUAUUCUUGGCUCUGGCUCCAGCUAUUUUCAACAGCACUAAACAUUCAUUAGAUUGAAUCAAAUGAACCACAUUCUUUAAAAAUAGCCAGAGCCUUGUCGUGCCAGUUGGAAAAAACAACAACUUUAUUGGGUAUUAAAACAGAUCAAAUAAAUUAAAAAUAAAUAAAUAAAUAGAGUCAUAUUCCCUCCUGGCGCAAGGGAGCACAACUCCAAGGAGAGGUUUUUGGCUCCUCAGUUCAGCACAGUGGUAGGUAAAAAAAGAACAUUCUCAACUAGCUAAAACAAACAAAUUAAGAAGAAUUACAGACAGUCCAGCACAAACUCCACGCUGAACUGUAAUGUAGGCAUAUGUUCAGCAAAUGUUAGAAUAUAUCAUUCCUGAUCCCUCUGCUGUAAACAUCGGCAUGGGAAGGGUUUACGGCAACUUAGAAGAGUUGCCACAACCAAACAGCAUCCUGGCCCACCAACCCUACUGUACAGCCUUAAAGGCCACAGCCAGACCCGUCUGCUCUGCCAAGAUGGACCUCGCCUUUAUGUCCUGCACAACCCAUCUCUCCCAAACAUCAGAAGUCCCCUACUGACACUAGCCUAACUUUCUUUCCUAAUUUACAAGCCAUCUUUUUUCCUUUCUUUGCAUCCUAUGAAAAAAAAAAGAAUUUGCUUGGAGACUUAUCCCCCAAAGUAUCUUAAAAAAGAUCAUCAAAUAAACAGCACGAGGUGGAUGGCUGUAGAGCAGAUUGCAGAAUAAGAUACGUACACUUGCUUUCAUGUGAUUCAGUCUGUUUCGAGGGAACUUAGAGUUGCUCCCAAGAUAGUCACGUAGCUAUAGUAAGCUAGGAGAGUUUCACCCGCUCUUGGGAGCAGAACAGACCUGCAGAACAAGUGCCCCUUCAACCUCCAGCCUAACUUUGCCUCUCAGGUAUCUCAGAACAGAUUCCUACAUUGUCCAGUUCCUCUGGUUUCCUGGGCACAGGACCAAUUCCACUAUAUAUAUAGGCUUCUUCCUAAGCAGUAACCGUUUUCUAACAGUGAGUUGCUUAAGAAAACAGUUAGAAGCUGGCAUACAGUCCUGCCCCGCUGCCUUUCUCCAAGACCUCAGCGCAGGUUCAUCUGCCCCUGGUCUGGCUCUACUGGCUUCAGCAAGGUCUUGCAUGAGCAGAGAGGACUUGUCCGACCCACCAGCAGGACCACCAGGUGAGUUACACUCAGAUGGGGCUGCAGCAAAGAGCCUCACCUCACAAACUAGUUUAAUAUAAGAGGCCCAGUAAGUGGAGCCAUGCACCACGUUAUGUUAGUACGGUACUAAUCGGUUGCUGGAGAGCUAUGCUGGAUGGUGGACACAUCCUGAACAAGCUACUGGUCAGAAUAAAACCCUCAACCCUUCAGCAAAAAAGAGUGAAAUAAAAAUUUAAAGCAGGUUUUGUGUUCAUUUUCUGGAGCUCUUAUCUCCAUUAGAGCAGAGACAUAUCUUUGGGAGUUACUGCAAUACCCAAUGAUGGAAGACCCAAAGCAUUAAAGUGCUGCCUUUUGGAUGUGUUUUGGCUCCUGUCUUACUGUGUUGGGCCUCAGUGGGGAAAUCAUGGGCCUAUCUCAGCCCAUCACGGUCUGCUUUCCAAGACAAACAGGAGCCUCACCCACCUGUGCAUGACAAAGGGUAGAAAGAGAAUGCAGAGGAGUUCUUACCAGGCAAUGUUUAGGAUGGCAAAGCUUUCUGAUUUACAAUACCAGAUCUAAGACAAGCAUAAAAGAAUCUGUAAAGCUGCCAUUGAAACUUAUAGCAAGUAUAAAUAACAAGGGCACACGUAACAGGCAGCCUGCUGUGUGGAGAAUUAAAAAAAAAAAUAGUUUUUAAGCUAUUUUUAUUAGCUGGUGGAAUGACUGGCUAGAAAACAAUCCCUCUGCUUUUAUCAGUCUGGAGCACCUCUGCCCGCUUUCAUUCUUUAGUGUCCACAGCCCAGCAAUGAUGGCAUUUUUCGGGUGCUAGCUCUCUGACAGGCAGGAUUUCUGCUGAUGUCCCGUACAGAAAUGCUGCUCCUGGGAACGCCAGUGAGCGAUUGCUAGUCUAGCACCAAAUACUCUAGAAAUCCCCCUUCUGCUUGGUACCAUUAGGCAUCACUGAAAGCUGGACUUCCACACAGUGGCAUCUCCAGUCACCACAAGACAGAAAAAACUGUUGUCUUUCUGUGCGAGGGACAAGUACACGACGUCAUGGAGUACUUUUUAAUUCCUAUGUUCAGCCGACCUCUCGGUGCCUGCUCCUUCCUGCCGCUUCCCCUGUGCCAACAGAAAUGUUUGUGCAGCCUCACAGUGAAUCUGAUCUGCAAACGGAUCCAGGUUAAAUUUAACCUAGGGUGGAAAAAAGGUUCAUUUUAGCCCAGAUCGGUUCCUUGAUCUGCCUUGGUUGUCCUGUCAUUAUUGUUCAGACUUUGGUACAAAAGCCUCGAGGUAUAUGACUGUUGCAUCACCUCUACCGUUGUACCAUGUCCCAGUCUCAGUGAUCACCCACUGUGGUAGAUCCUGGCUGCUCAGUUAGGCAAUGGGUCACAUAUCUGAUACUCAAAGAGGUUCAACCUCCCUGUGUGAGACAAAAUGGGUACUUCCAUCUGACCGACGAUCUUUUGCUCAGCAGAGAGACGCACCAGCCCCCAGUGCUGAUGAGAUCAGGCCCAUCUCUGUUGUGCCUGCAUGUCCCGUAGCAUGUUUUAUGAUGGCAAUCAGUGAGCUGAUGGGGAGCGGAAUGUGCAUUUUUGCAUGUUUACAUGCAAAAAGACACAUCUUCGAAACAAGGAAAAGCUGUAGCAGAUUGAACAUUGCAGAACGGUACAGCUCCCAGGUGAAGGCUACAUACAAAGCAGUUGUCCUGUGGAGCAGCACUCUGUGUGCACAGCACAACUACAGCAGAUUUGUCUGAACAGAUGUGCAUGGCCAUGAAGACUACUGGGGUGUAAAGCCUGAACUACCUUUCCCUGCCAUCCAUGCACAACCCUUUUUUUUUUUACUAAGCUUUUUCACGGGUUAGAAUAGCCAGUCUGUGCAGCAAGAGCACCCUGAUUCCUUCAUACUGCAUGAAACUGAACUUGAUUUUUGCAGUCAGUGGAAAGAAAAAUGUACUUAUUUCAUCGAGUAGGAGUCCUGCAGAGUUAAUAAAUUCUUCAGUGCUUUUCUGAAGGAUGCCAUUUGGUUCUUAAGGCCAGAAUCUGUUCUCUGAUACCUAAAUGCAAUUCCCAUAGAUUUCCAAGGAAAUUGGGUAUAUAUUCCUUGGCAAAAUGCAGCUAUUAACUUAAAAUUCUGAAGAUACAUGAAAUCUGCAGAGAAAAAAAAGAGCUGGGUAUAGUCUGGAAGGAGCAAAACUGAAAUGUAUGAAGACCUAAAAAUAAUUUUUCAAAGCCUAUCUUGAGUUGAAAGAUUUCAGUGUUCCUCCCCAGUCUAGAAAACAGAAAAAAUGCCCUUGAAAUAUGAACACUGAGUGCUACUAUUUAACUUGAAAUCUCUUUGGCUUGCAAAAGCCAAAAAUAAAAACCUGUAGCUUGGCAUCAGGCAGUUUAAUGUUAUUGGUGAGAAACAUGGGACCUUAGGUUCACUUCAUGACAACAGGAGCCACCAACACACACGAGCUCCAAAUUGCCUUGCUUAAGAGACGAAGUCAGGGCUGCUCUGUUACGUGAAGCGUUGGAUCGUGUAUUACUGUUGUUUCUGUUGGAAGGCUCACCUUCAGGGAGACUGGAGGCCAUCCCAACCUUUCCUGCAAUAUGCAAGCAAUUAUCUCUCUCUAUUUUUACAUAUUUAAUACAAAUUUAAUUUGUAUUUUGCAAACUCUAGAAAGAAGAAAAAUUACUUAUUUCACUGCAUUACCAUUCUGCAGAAGCAAUAAUUAUUCAGUGUGUUUGUGAAGAAAACAUGAUACAUGCGUAAAAUGGUGCCCUUUAAUAAAUGCUCAGGACAACCAAAGACAAGAAUGGUUUGAUCUCUUUUAAUAAAA